rnacentral:rRNA from 1 species
UGGGGAAUAUUGGACAAUGGGCGAAAGCCUGAUCCAGCCAUGCCGCGUGAGUGAUGAAGGCCCUAGGGUUGUAAAGCUCUUUCAACGGGGAAGAUAAUGACGGUACCCGUAGAAGAAGCCCCGGCUAACUUCGUGCCAGCAGCCGCGGUAAUACGAAGGGGGCUAGCGUUGUUCGGAAUUACUGGGCGUAAAGCGCACGUAGGCGGAUCGAUCAGUCAGGGGUGAAAUCCCGGGGCUUAACCCCGGAACUGCCUUUGAUACUGUCGGUCUCGAGUCCGGAAGAGGUGAGUGGAAUUCCGAGUGUAGAGGUGAAAUUCGUAGAUAUUCGGAGGAACACCAGUGGCGAAGGCGGCUCACUGGUCCGGUACUGACGCUGAGGUGCGAAAGCGUGGGGAGCAAACAGGAUUAGAUACCCCCGUAGUCC